GGAUCGCACCGUGGCGAUUUGUUACCGGAUUGCGGGCCACGUUAAACUCUCCCGCUAAAGAGGUCAGUCGAAAGAGCCC
rnacentral:ncRNA from 2 species